GCAGAAACUGACAAGGGAUGGUAAGCUCUAGCCAGCUCCCUGAAGGGAGACUUAGAGAAUUUUUUUUUGGUUUUAGAUGAACUUUUGGGUAGUCUGAACCUGGUCUCUAUGUCAGAAUUCAUUCUAGAGACCCCGAUCAAAAGAAACUAGUUGGUGAACGAGAGGCUUGUGAAUACUCAUUGGGAUACAUUUAAAAGAAACCAUUCCUCUUGAAACCACUCUGCAGCUGGUCAGUGGAGAAACUGCUGUGCUUCAGGUUCUCCUAGCAUCCAGAACAGCGAUGACAUUUUUAGAGCACCAUGUACACACCUGUGCUCACUACCAAUAAUAGUUACAGGAUAACAAUCAGCUUUCAUUUUGUUA